GUCCACGCCGUAAACGAUGUCUACUAGCCGUUGGGUUCCUUGAGGACUUAGUGGCGCAGCUAACGCAAUAAGUAGACCGCCUGGGGAGUACGGUCGCAAGAUUAAAACUCAAAUGAAUUGACGGGGGCCCGCACAAGCGGUGGAGCAUGUGGUUUAAUUCGACGCAACGCGAAGAACCUUACCAGGUCUUGACAUCCAGAGAAUUUUCCAGAGAUGGAUUAGUGCCUUCGGGAGCUCUGAGACAGGUGCUGCAUGGCUGUCGU
rnacentral:rRNA from 1 species